rnacentral:lncRNA from 1 species
CUGGCCCGACAGCCAGCUGAGCCUCCCCUGAUGCGCCCGAGGCGGGACUCACAGGUCUGGCUGCAGUCGCACUCUGACGACAUUUAGCAGCGCAAUCAAGGCCAACAGGGCCCUGGAGGAGCGUGACAAAAGGUCGAUACUUGUGUUAGCGUCUUUGAGUCGGGACGCGUAGCAGGCGAGAAUGAAAACUGUCCCCAGCUGGGGAGGAUGAAGGCAGGGACCGCAUUUUAGCACACAGCAGGCUGGAGCUGGUCAGGGAGCGGCUUGUGCUUCAGAGGCCAGCAAUGGUGCAGGGAGGCCACGUAGGAGCAUCCAGCUACGCCAUGUGCCCCUGUUGUCCCG